CAUACAGCAUCAGAACUUUCCAGAGAUGGAAAGGUGCCAGUUUUACUGGAGCUUGGUGACAGGUGCUGCACGGCUGUCGUCAGCUCGUGUCGUGAGAUGUUGGGUUAAGU
rnacentral:rRNA from 1 species